GGAGGCCGGGUCAGUCCCGGGAUCAGCACUGGAGAUCCGGGUGCCCACGGUCCAGGGGCUCUGGGCAAGGAGGGACCGCCUCCCCGGGACAGCGGCGUAUCUAUCGGUCACCUGUCUGCCCGCUGUCGGCUCACGAGCCGCCUGCCCUGCCAGCAAGUGGCCUCUCGCCCGUGGCUGAAAGAGGCUUUGUUCCACGGAGCAGGAGGCACGGACGCCCAUCACAGGACCUUUCAGAGCAGGAAAUGCGAUCUGCUGGCUGAUUGAUGUCUUCACCUGGCCUUUGUUCCCGAGCCUCCGCUCUGCCCGCCUCUGCAGGGCUGCGCCUCCUCCUCCAGGGUCCAGGCCUCUCAGAGGACAUUCCAGGGUCCCCCUCUGUCCCCUCCAGGCACGGGCCCCAGUGUCCAGGCCCCCCCCUUCUGUCCCCUCCAGGCAGGGACCAGGCUUGCCUCUGCCUCUGACACGGGGAAGGCUAGUCUAGGGGUAAUUUCAACUUCCCGCAGAGGGGCCCCCUGGCCACAGCCCCCCGGCACCUGCACAGGUGAGGAGCCUAUGGGCCGGGGAGAAGGGUGGCUGAGCGGCACCUGGGGAGGGCGUGGCCCUAGGAGGGGCCUGCUGCAAUAAGUGUUUCUUUGUGCGUUACCUCGGCUUUUGUUUUGAAUUCUUCCCUGAGGUUCCAGCUGAGCCCUCCUAGCACACCUGGGGACAGGUGGGGGCCUUUCCCGCCAUCUCUGGAGGAGGGGCAGGGGGGGCCUUAGCGGCACCUCCUGAAAUAACGAAAACCUUUGCGUGCAGCCAGCCAGCUCUCGCUGUUCUGACAUGGUCUCGAGCGUGUUUAGAAAACUUAGUGGCACGAGAGUUCAGCUCAAGGUCACCUGUCCCCAGCUCUGCCAGGCGCGGUCCCCCACCCUCCCAAGGAGCGGGAGCCGGGGAGCCGGGGACCGUGGUGCCUUCCUCUGUG